rnacentral:lncRNA from 1 species
CCCCUGCUUCUGUCAGAGCAUUUAAUUGUAUCAAUCAGAAUGGAUAGAACACAUCACCACGAUUCCUCCAAAGAUGGAUUCAAGUCCCCUCAAACCAGGAGCCAACAUUAAGUCCUUCAUUGACUUCGUCAGUUUUUCUGCUGCAAUGAUAAGAAGAAUAGCUAACACCAUGGGAAGGCGAUUCUCCGAAGCUCACGGAAUCUGGGGAUUCACUCAUCGUCGUAUAAACACACCAUGUGGGUUAAAACGAGGACAAAUCCAGAUACUCACCAUUAGGGAAUGUCAAUGCAUUUCAACUGCUUGGCCCCACAAGGUCAAAACACAGCCACAGUGUCUUCUCACAAUCCUCCAGGCUCUUCCCAGAUUACAGAGAGUGAUCUGGUCCUAUUCAAGAGGACAGAGUAUCCACCAGGCUCUGUCAAAGCUGCUCAGCAAAGACCAGAUAACCUCAGUUUGCUGUGAAGGAUAGCAGGGGUUGCUCCCGGGGUACCUGGUCCUCCUGUGUGAAAUGGGUAUGUGCUCUUUAUCCUCACAGCCAGGAAACUGGACUAACAACAGUGCAUAAAACUAUUUGUUUUGUUCUGUCUUUAGAAAUCAUUUUAGGGUUUUACAGACUGGGGAGCAAACAAUCAAUGCUGAAUAUUGAAUAAUCCCCUUGUCAUCACGAGUAACAGUCAUCCAAGGUUUUUAAAGCCCUUUCAUUUUGAAACACUCAGACGUCUCCUAGCUCGACCCUCCUCUGCCUUUACCUCUCUGCAGGAGACAGGCAAGCCUCUCUGCCAUGCUGAUUUGACCAGCAGCAAUGUGAUGUGAGCAUUGAGCAGUGUCACAAUGCGCCCAUCCGAGGGCUGUGGGAAUGUGGGCCAUUUGAGAGCUGGCAGCAGCAUAGUCUUGGUCAUGAAACCUUCCCAAGUAAAACAUUAAUUAACAUGAAGUGGGGUGUGACACCUCCCAUCUCAAGAUGGACUCUUGCUUUCUAGUCAUGCAACAUGUUUCAGUGCAACAAUAGAAACCCUAAGUAAGAUGAGUUGGUACCAGGAUUGUGGGUAUUGCUAUCACAGAC